CAGCGGUUGGCAGAGACUCCUAGCUUAUCAGUGUAAACUGUGGUUAUUGGAAAGUGGGUAGAAUCAGGUUUGGAUUCCCCCAGAAGCAGAGACAGAGCAAAAGGAUUCCAGAGUGUGAAGAGAGAAGCUUCCUCCAGCGAAGCAGCAGCCCCAGCGCUGGUCCUGUAGUGGAAACCGAGAUGAGAGAAGCCCCAGGCAUGGGCUGGCGAGGAUGCAGUGCACAGAGCAGCUGGGACAGGGCCAGCACCAGCGGCAUAACACAUGCUGCUAUUCCUAUCCCUGGGGGCCCUCGGAGAUGGCUGGGAGCAGCCCAAUGUCAGGGCAGGUGAAUGACGUGAGCAGCCAUGCUGGGCAUAGCUGGGUCCAACUAUGAGGAGGCAUGACUGGCUAUCAGUGCUGCCUGGUGACAGGUGGCUUAGCUGGAGUCCUGGCUCUGUCACCUACCAGCUGUGUGACUGUGGGCCAGUGGCCCCAUGUCUCUGUGCCCCACCUUCUUCAUCUGUACAGCAGGGUGAUACUGAGAGUACCUAUUUCUCAGGGAUGUUACGAAGGUCAAAGGAACACAUCCAAGUGUCAUUCCUAGAGGGCGUGAAUUCCCUGGGGCUUUUGUCUUCUGCCCAGGCAGCAAAGCAGAUGCAAGUGGUCAGAGAAGGCUGCCAGAUCCCUACCUCGACACUCACAUAAGAGAAGAGUGAAGUUUCGGGGACGCCGCACCUCAAGGCAGUUCCACCGCGCGAGGUGCUGAGCUUGCGGUAUUACUCAUGCACCUUUCUGAUAAGAAAAGUGAAAACGCGAAGUUGAAAACUCAAGACGCCCAGCAACUUCCUGAAUCCAGCUCUCCACGUCCUGCUCUACGGGACGGGCGACUCCCAGAGCGGAAUCGUUGGCGGGAGUCCCACGUUUCGUUGGCGUGGGAAGGGGAACUGGUCGGGGCAGGUUCGGUUUCAGGGUCUCCCCUCACCUGGCAGCGGGGAGGUGAGGGCCCCCAGCAGGCUGGCCACGCCACCCUGGCCUCGAGGCCGG
rnacentral:lncRNA from 1 species